rnacentral:SRP_RNA from 1 species
GCUGGGCGCAAUGGCGCAUGUCUGUAGUCCCAGCUACUUGGGAGGCUGAGGUGGGAGGACUGCUUGAGCCCAGCAGUUCUGGGCAAUCGGGUAUCCGCACUAAGUUCGUCAUCAAUAUGGUGACCUCCCGGGAGCAGGGGACCACCAGGUGAACCAGCCCAGGUUGGAAACGGAGCAGAUGAAAACUCCUGUGCUGAUCAGUAGUGGGAUCGCGCCUGUGAAUAAUCACUGCACUCCAGCCUGGGCAACAUAGCAAGACCCCGUCUCUA